UACAGAGGUCUCAAGCGUUGUUCGGAUUCAUUGGGCGUAAAGGGUGCGUAGGUGGUUAGGUAAGUCGGAUGUGAAAUCCCGGGGCUCAACCCUGGAACUGCAUUCGAUACUGCCUGACUAGAGUACUGGAGAGGAGAUUGGAAUUUACGGUGUAGCAGUGAAAUGCGUAGAUAUCGUAAGGAAGACCAGUGGCGAAGGCGGAUCUCUGGACAGUUACUGACACUGAGGCACGAAGGCCAGGGGAGCAAACGGG
rnacentral:rRNA from 1 species